rnacentral:misc_RNA from 1 species
AACUUUUGACAACGGAUCACUUGGCUCCCGCAACGAUGAAGAACGCAGCGAAAUGCGAUACGUAGUGUGAAUUGCAGAAUUCAGUGAAUCAUCGAAUCUUUGAACGCACAUUGCGCUUCCUGGUAUUCCGGGGAGCAUGCUCGUUUCAGAAUCAUUAAACUCUCACGAGCUUGUCGUGUUUCACAACACAGCAAGUGAGUGGAUGUGAGCGUGUUUGUGUUUCCUUGAAAUACAGUCGCUUUAAAAUGAUUGUGUGCGAACCAGGCUUUGCGAUAAGCUGGAACCCUCAGUGCAACAAAUUUUGAUCACUUUGGCGACAGUUUUUUCCAACUUGGUUUAGUGCAUUCACACCUUUCACAGUGCGGAAUACAAGUUUUGUAUUCUGCUCUGAUUACUUGGUCUGAAAUCGAGCAAGAAAACCCGCUGAACUUAAGCAUAUCAAUAAGCGGAGGCU